rnacentral:rRNA from 1 species
AACGAACGCUGGCGGCAGGCUUAACACAUGCAAGUCGAACGGAUCCUUCGGGAUUAGUGGCGCACGGGUGAGUAACACGUGGGAACGUACCCCUUGGUAAGGAAUAAUAUCUGGAAACGGAUACUAAUACCUUAUAAUGACUUCGGUCCAAAGAUUUAUCGCCAAGGGAUCGGCCCGCGUCAGAUUAGAUAGUUGGUGGGGUAAUGGCCUACCAAGUCUACGAUCUGUAGCUGGUCUGAGAGGAUGAUCAGCCACACUGGGACUGAGACACGGCCCAGACUCCUACGGGAGGCAGCAGUGAGGAAUAUUGGACAAUGGAGGAAACUCUGAUCCAGCCAUGCCGCGUGAGUGAAGAAGGCCUUAGGGUUGUAAAGCUCUUUCAAUA